GUUUCUGGUAAUUCCACUUGGUUUUCUUGGGCACAGUAAACCAAGUGGCACAGGGUCAGUGGUCACCUGCAUUCACUGUCAUAGAAACCAGCCUCGUUCUUUCAGGGCGAGUUCUCUCUCUCUUCCCACGACCGCAGACUGAGCUGUGAUGAGAGCCUCACAGUGAGAGAGUGAGACAGAUCAAUGUGGAAGGACCACUUCUGCUUCUCCUCUCGGCUGAAUGGUCAAGAGAUGGAAACAGAAAGUGAAUCACCGAGGUACAUUCUGCGGUUCAAUCUAAUAAAUAAAAUCAAUUGUAAAUCGUUGACAAAUGAUAUUCAAUGAUCACUUAUGCUUCUCCUCUCGGCUGAAUGGCCAAGAGUCUCGGAAACAUGAAGUGAGUCACCGAGUUUCAUUCUGUGGUUCAAUUUAAUAAAUAAAAUGAAUUGUAAAUUGUUGACCAAUGAUAGCCUUCCCCCGGCCUGAAUGACUCCGGCCGGAUGUAUACACGAUCAGGAUGUCCUGCUGAACUUGGUCUGUGUUCGUGUAGGUGUCAGUGUGUGUAGGUGCCCUGACACACACUGACACACAAAUGGCGCCCACCGCCAGUGAGAUCACGGCGCAGUGUGUUCAAACUGAAAAUGGGAAGUGUGUGGUCUUCCUCUCGUUUCCUGUCUGCAAACACACUCACACACUGCAGCGCCCGGCCGCGUGCACGAGGAGCUCCACUCUCGUAGCGCGUCGUGGGGACUGCCGGUGGAAAAGCUCACGACGACAUUGCAGGUUUCUGUGUUCCAGCUCUGGGCCGGGAUGGCUAUAAAAACAGGUAGGUCCCCCACCUGGCCAGUAUCUCAGCACCAGUAUCUCAGCACCAGUAUCUCAGCACCAGUAUCUCAGCACCAGUACUGUUGACUCCUCUGAUCUGACAUUAUGCAGCUGCUUGUGUUGUUGUGUUGCGUAGCGAUGGCGGCGGCGGUGCCACAUUCAGGGAUGGAGGGGAGAAAACUUUCAGAGACGCAGGGCCUGCUCAGGUCCUUCUACACCAUCGGCAGCCCCCAGAGUGACGGAUCCCAUCCGUCGCUGAAUAUCAAGCUGGGAUGCUGCGAAGCGGCGCUCACCUGUUUCCACGACAACCUUAAGAACGUCACGGCGCAGCACGAGAUAGCGUCGGGCAUGCAAUUGUUCAGCAGUCUGAAAAACUCAAACCUGAGGAAGGCUGUCCAGUGCAAAGACCCUGGCCCCGCCCCGGAUCAUUCCUGCCCAGCCUGCGAUUCUUUCCCCAGGACGAAGGCGGAGCUUGUCAACCAGCUGUCCCAGUUCCUCGAAAAGGCAGCGAGCAGCUUGUCUACAAAAAGACGGGGAUGAAUCCACCAACUAGGACGCAGCUGAACCCACCAAUCCGGACGCAGCUGAACCCAUCAGACCUCAUCUACAUUCAAAUUUUUAUUUAAGAG
ensembl:lncRNA